rnacentral:lncRNA from 1 species
UUUUUUUUAUGUUUUUGUGUAAUCUAACCCUCAUUCAAGCCUUGGUAAGUGUGUUUGGGACUCGAUGUAGUUUGGUUCGUGUAUAUACGUGUGUUUAUGAGCUUUGAUUUUAUUGCUCGUUUAUGUGAUGAAUAAGUAUGAGUUUAUUAAUUUUGUCAUAACUGAACAUUAGAAUACAAGUGUAAUUAAAUUUGAAUCUGUUCAAAUGGAAAUGCUAAUGUCUGUAUAAUAUCUGCAUAAUGUGUGCAU